CCUGCGGCUAAAGGUGUCAUUCUUCCAUGAGUCUGAAACUUUAUUUAUUUACUGAUAGAUCUUUUGCGAGCUUCAUUUGUUGAAUUAUUCAUUUAUGUGUUUUCAGGUAAACAGCUGCACCCAAAAAGAUUACUUCACAAAAGUGAGCUUUGAAUAUAUUCUGUACUGUCACCAAGGUAGGUGAAGCUGGCAUUGCCAGCCCAGAGGUUGCGCCUUGACUUAUGAGGCAACAACUCAUUUGCUUAAUUAAAACAGAAGAGGCAGAUGCUGCGAUUUCACAGUAAUGAAGCCUCGCUGGCGACACCCCAGUGUCUGCUGGGCUUCGUUUCAGAAACCAAGUUGUGUACGGUGCUGCUGUCAGCAUUCACGUCCCGUGUUCCUAGUGGCGUGCUCUCUGAGGUCAUGACCUGGAUUUAAUCAGCAAACUGCAUAAAAGUCUCUCUUGCCACCAUCACCUUAUCAAAGUACCGUGCAGCCAAUUGUGAUGAUGGAAUGAAAGCACUCUACUGUCUACAAGUCCAAGUGCAUCAAAUUGUCUAACAUUAGGAUUAGAAAUAAUAAGACUGGCUUUAGCACCUGGCCUGGCCAUCUUUAGGCCUGGAACCCCUGCAGAUUUUUUUAUUCUUCAAUAUCUCGCUCCUGGAGUUUUUCUUUCUGUCCUCUCUGGCAAUCUGAUUAUAGGAUCGGACUUACCUUAAUGGACUUAAAAAACUUAUCUUCAAUCUAGGAUUCUACUACUUGUAUACAGUAUCUGUGUUGUGUAAUCACAUAAUGAUUCUUUAAAAAUUAAUUUUUUUUAAUUAUUUAUUUUUGUUAUAUACAGUUAGGUCCAUAAAUAUUUGGACAGAGACAACUUUUUUCUAAUUUUGGUUCUGUACAUUACCACAAUGAAUUUUAAAUGAAACAACUCAGAUGCAA